GAUGAACGCUGGCGGCGUGCCUAAUACAUGCAAGUCGAGCGAACAGACGAGGAGCUUGCUCCUCUGACGUUAGCGGCGGACGGGUGAGUAACACGUGGAUAACCUACCUAUAAGACUGGGAUAACUUCGGGAAACCGGAGCUAAUACCGGAUAAUAUAUUGAACCGCAUGGUUCAAUAGUGAAAAACGGUUUUGCUGUCACUUAUGGAUGGAUCCGCGCCGCAUUAGCUAGUUGGUAAGGUAACGGCUUACCAAGGCAACGAUGCGUAGCCGACCUGAGAGGGUGAUCGGCCACACUGGAACUGAGACACGGUCCAGACUCCUACGGGAGGCAGCAGUAGGGAAUCUUCCGCAAUGGGCGAAAGCCUGACGGAGCAACGCCGCGUGAGUGAUGAAGGUCUUCGGAUCGUAAAACUCUGUUAUUAGGGAAGAACAAAUGUGUAAGUAACUAUGCACGUCUUGACGGUACCUAAUCAGAAAGCCACGGCUAACUACGUG
rnacentral:rRNA from 1 species